AUUGAACGCUGGCGGCAGGCCUAACACAUGCAAGUCGGACGGUAGCACAGGGGAGCUUGCUCCUGGGGUGACGAGUGGCGGACGGGUGAGUAAUGUCUGGGAAACUGCCUGAUGGAGGGGGAUAACUACUGGAAACGGUAGCUAAUACCGCAUAACGUCGCAGGACCAAAGAGGGGGACCUUCGGGCCUCUUGCCAUGAGAUGUGUGAAGAUGGGAUUAGCUAGUAGGUGGGGUAACGGCUCACCUAGGCGACGAUCCCUAGCUGGUCUGAGAGGAUGACCAGCCACACUGGAACUGAGACACGGUCCAGACUCCUACGGGAGGCAGCAGUGGGGAAUAUUGCACAAUGGGCGCAAGCCUGAUGCAGCCAUGCCGCGUGUAUGAAGAAGGCCUUCGGGUUGUAAAGUACUUUCAGCGGGGAGGAAGGUGUUGUGGUUAAUAACCGCAGCAAUUGACGUUACCCGCAGAAGAAGCACCGGCUAACUCCGUGCCAGCCGCCGCGGUAA
rnacentral:rRNA from 1 species